CGGUGUCAAGACCCUCAGAGUCUUUGAGGAAAGAGCCAAGCAGAGAAGACCGCUGCGUGGAGUGUGACACCACAUGGCAUUUCUCAAGCCCAGCGGACCCUGUGUCAGCAAAUACCAGUAAUUUAACAUCUGCUCCUGGCCUCCUCUUCACCUGCCUGGGUUCGGAACUGAGGAGGAAGGAUGAGAAGAGACUGCAAUGCAGCAGGCACCCUCUGCAGAGUGAGGCCGCCCGUCCAUCACUGCCAGCCCUGGGCUGCUCAGGAGGGGACGUGAACCACUCAAAGGAAUGUCUUAAAGAGGAUCUGGAGUUUCCCCCAUGCAAAUUAGGGAAGAAUUAGGCAAGAAAAGACAUACAUUACAGGGAAAUCCUUCUGAACAAAAUGGCUGUCUUCACCUACUCUUCUUGCAAGAAAAGACAUACAUUACAGGGAAAUCCUUCUGAACAAAAUGGCUAUCUUCACCUACUCUUCAGCAAAAACCGUCUCCAGACUUUUUAGUGUCAAAAAUGUAACCAACUGUCUCCUGAUUUUUUCCAAUGUGUUUGGCAAGUGCUGUGGCCCUGUUGUAGGUACUUCUCCUGACUCUUGGGGGAGAAGUGGUUUUAGGGAUUGAUUUGGGGGAGCGGGUUUUUGUCCCAUCCCACCUCCUCUCUUCUUUCUCUGCUUGUCGAUAUUGUCUGUGUGAUUCAGAGAAUUGGGGCAGUUACAUUGUGUCUGUUGUUGAGAUUAUUAAAAGAUUAAAACGUAGUUGUAGAAAUGAAAAAUUAAACAGCUGUGUUUUAAAAAUGCAAACCAAUAUCUUGUUAAUAAAGGAAUUCAAGCUAUGGGGCAGCCACACUCCCCUCCUCCCAGGCUGGCAUAGGUGGCCCUGGGCUGGCGGCUUAGGAAGCAUGGAGCACACUUAGGGUAGUGCCUGCCUGGGCAAGAGACACCUGCCGAGCAAAAGGAACGAGAAUCUGGGGCUCAGAGCCUCGCAGUUGUGCCAGGAUUUUCCUAUACAUGUUCAGGACCUCUGGGUAGAGGUUUCACAGUUUGUGACCCCAUAACCACCCUCACCCGACGUGGGUUCUAGCUCAGUGUGCCUAAUACUGCAUGGUAACCUGGGCUUGACCCUGAAGCCCCUGCCUGGCAGGCCACAGGACCUCUCCUGCCCACUUGGUGCUAUCUCUUCCAGUGACCACCCAGCACGGGUGAGCACUGGCCAGCCUGGAGCCUGCAAUCCAGGUGGAACAGACUGUCCUCCAUGUCAGUUCCUUCUGGCUUCAGGCCCUCAAUUAUUUCCCUUUGAGCUUUUUUAGACCCUAGAUCUCCUAGGCCCAGGCUCUCUCUUGACCCCAGAGAAGCCACUGUCAGGAAAGGAAGUGAACCCUACUGAAGCCAGAGAAUUCACCCCGGCCAAAGCAGGCCCUCUGGGUCCAGCCCCUCAUUCCACACCACGCCAGUAUUGCAUCCAUCUACUGCAGCUACACAUCCUGAGGGCAGCACCACCCACUCUGGCCUGCUGGCCCAUCGCAGGACUAGCCCAGGCACCUGCCGGGCAUUGCAGGAUAUCCAGUGGGGCCUGUGACUGCUCCCUGAUGCGUCAGAAGAGAAGUGUUGCACUUUAGUGGAGGAGCUGAGGAGCACCUGCCCCCUUGUAGCUUGAGUUCCUUUUGGUAACAGUAGCAGCCUCCAUGGUGGUGUCUGGGAUGCACGUGCACCCGCUGCCUUCAGCUGUAUGUGUGUGUUCCUGCUGGAGUUGUGUUACUGACAGGAUAAUGACAUUACAAAGAAAUUGUGUUAUAUUCAACUUUGCCUUGAUAAUUAUUGUAAACACUUUGUUCAUUUUUUCUUUUUUAUUCACAAACUAAAUCCACCAGGAAAUUAUAAAGUUAUUUAAAAAC
rnacentral:lncRNA from 1 species